ensembl:lncRNA
UUCUCAUUUGUGUUUCUCAUUCUGGUUUCAUUUAGAAAACCUUAAAUGUCUAUAACAGGUGCACAAACUGCAGCUUUAUUAUUUUUUUUUUUAAUUUAACAGUAGGUUUCAAUGUAAAAAGGUACAUUGAAUUGUUCCAGUCUAAUUUGGUUACAUGACAGAUGAGUUUUUGAGCCUCAAUCUUGUCAGGUGUUUUUUUGAGGUGAUUCUUGUUUCAGCAGGAAAGGCUAUAGAAAGUGCUUACUCUGUCGGAAGGUUUUGUGAGGAAUCUUACUAAAGGUAUUUUAGGUCCCUGUGGAAUUGGAGAAAGGAAAAUAUACUGUAUUUUGAGUAUCCAGGAAGGAUUUAUGAGUUUAGGAUCUCUUAGCAGUUUUAUCAGGUCUAUGGUGUUUAUCAGUUUUAAAUGCAUAACUCUUGAAAAUACUUGUAAGGCAAGUACACUUGUCCAGAUAAUUUACUUGUCAGAAUGGAACUUGUGAAGAAAAUAAGUUACUAAUUAAUGUUUUGCAUUUAUGUACUUUUAAAUUUUAUUCGCAUUUGAAGACUUGCUGCUUACAAAAUGAUAGUUCUUAAAUCAGAAGUAUAGAGUUGUGAAAAGAUAUGUCUGUUUAUCUGUAGUGUUUGACAAUAUGAAGUCAAGCCUUACAGCUGUCACUCAUCCUUAAGUCCAUAUUUAUCUUUGAGUUUCAGCACUACUUAGAAACAAGCAAAGGUUCUGAAUUUCUGUAGUAAAAAACCUGUUUGCUCUAGUCUCCAUGUGAAAGCCAAAAUAUUUGCAGAAGGCUUUAAAGCUUUUCUCUGCUGCAGAAUUGCAUGUAAGACAGAAGUUGUCAUUGUCAGGAGUUGCUGAGUGCCAGAGAGAAAUAUCUGCAGGCAUCAUGGUUAUUUUUUUUUCCAAAGUUGUCUUGAAAGACAGCAUUUAAUGGAAAAAUACGAACUGAAUCUUAGUUGAUUCUUUUCUAAAAUAGUGUUUCUCCAUUUCAGACAUUUAAAAUUCACAUUUAAAAUUAUGAAAGCACUCUUUGAGCCUCAUUUUCUGAAAGUUUUGUUGUGAAGUGAGCACGUAUGUGCCAAACCUUAGUUUGCAAGUAUCUGGCACAUGUAUAUUUAUACGUUAAUAAGAUGCCUCCAAGCAUGUUUACAUUCAUGGUCUUUUUUGAAGCUACUGAAGUACACGAAUAUGGUAAGCAUUAAUAUAUUGGAAUUCUCAAAAUUCUGUCUGUUUUCUGUCUGUGUAUGGCAUGCUUUGCAGUUAGGAGGGCUAUUUUAUUUGUAUCUUCACCUGCACUUAUAUAUUAUGACCAGUUGAUUGGUGUGUUUUUUCUUGCUGUUGUCACACUUACCCAAACAGUUGUCUCUGGACUGUGACCAAAGGAGAUUUUUCAUACCUGUUUAUUUUUAAGUAGAAAUCAAAUCAGUUGGCUUUUAAAGUAUUAAUUCCUAUGGAGCGUGGUGUAACACUGCUAAUUACUCUCUUCCUUUUUGCAGUAUUGAUGUACAGAGAAUCAUUUAGCUUGACCAUGAGUUGUAUCUGUUGAAUGUAGUUGACUUUAAAUGUCUGAAUUUUAAGCAUUUUUUUUAAAUUGAAAAUACUCCUGAUGAGGACUCUGAAAAGAAAAAAGAUUUGAUGUUUUUAUGUCAAAAUACAUAAAGUGAGUGUUUUGCAAUGAGAUAAGAAUCUUUUGAAGAUGCUUUUUAGAUGUUUUCCUCUGUCACUGUCUUAAAUCAAGACUCUUUAAAAAGGAAAAAUCAAAACCAAAACAGUCUCUUGAUGACUUAAACCUUACAAUCUUUUGAAAACUGAAAGGAAAUCUGGUGCUUUUACUUAAUUUGCUUGCAUAUUGCCAGACUGAUUUAAGAAUAGUUGUUUCAAGAAGCAAAUUAAAUCUGUUAUUUCAAUGAAGCAUUGCUAUUUGUGAUUUUAUAAAAUAUUCCAUUUACAAAAAUUGUCUAGCAACAGGAUGUUAACCUGAUACUAUAUUUGUUGUUAUCAGGGUAACUAUUGUGUGUAUGCUUUCUGAGCUGAGUAAGUGUUCACUUUGUAAAUUUGCAUUAAGGCUACAGCUGUUACCAGCGAGGUUCCCUAGGGCCAGCACAAUGAGUUUAUGAGCUGAAGCUCCUGGUGCUUGACCCCUUUUUGUCUACAGUAGUAAAAAAAGUGUGUAAGUCUGCGCAAUACAGCUCGUGUUACAAAUUUCCAUGUUAAGCACACAGCUAUGCUGACAAGCAGAAACAUAUCUGAACAUGCUUGUCUGGAGUAAAGCAACCUCUCUGACUUCUCAGCAGGAGCUGUAACUUGGUGGCACAUUGGCAAAGAGGAAGCAGAAAUAGGUUUUGCUCUUCCCUGAGCAGCUGUUAAACUGAACACGGCGUGUGCUUCCUGUGCAGUAGGGUAUCUGAACUCCUUAGAGCCCUGAGAAUUUUAAUAGCAUUCAGAAGAUACAGAAGCACUUGGCUGCUUUGCCACUUCUUGCUUUCGUACUUGUAGUUUUGCAAAAGCUUGAAGUGAUGUAUUUAUUAAAAUUGAAUCUAUGUAGUCAACAACUGUAUAAGCACUGCUUUGUAAUAUCUUUACGGAGAUAUCAAAUUCCUACACAAUUAUAUUUAAACUGUUUUGGGAAAAUGAAUAAUGACACUGUGGGCACAAAUUAAUUCAGAUUGCACUAUAAACUUUCUUACCAGAAGCCUUCAUUCUUACAGAGAACUAUGCGAUCCCUACACAGAAACUGUAGCUUUGGUGGUGCGCUCUUUGGUAGAUGUCCAAAAAAGCGGCAUCCAGACGGUCCCUGGACCUUUUCUGACAUUCCAGUUGAAGGGGCCUGGCAGGCCCACGGGGCACUCGAGGAGUUGGCUGGCAAGCGCACCAUGCCGAGCGUCACCCCAUGCCAGCACCUUGUAUAACUCUGCUGGUCUAGGUCUCCCCCAGCUUAGAUGGUUUUUAACUCACUGCAGCUUAAAUGUUUCUCCACCCUGCCUAAUUUGUCUUUGUUAUUUGGUUGCCAAAAUGUCUUGCAUCUUAAUAGAGUAAGAAAAUAAUGUGAUUUAUGGCUACCCAACCAGUGUAUUAAGUAAUAGACGGCUCUGUUUUAAUAAACGGGGUAUAA